rnacentral:rRNA from 1 species
AGGGUUUGAUUCUGGCUCAGAACGUACGCUGGCGGCACGCUUAACACAUGCAAGUCGAACGAAGUAGCAAUACUUAGUGGCAGACGGGUGAGUAACAUGUGGGUAUCUGCCCUUUGGCCUGGAAUAACACGAGGAAACUUGUGCUAAUACCGGAUAAGUCUUCACGGAGAAAGCUUUAUGCACCAUUGGAUGAGCCCGCACUUGAUUAGUUUGUUGGUGGGGUAAUGGCCUACCAAGACUGUGAUCAAUAGCUGAUUUGAGAGGAUGAUCAGCCACAUUGGGACUGAGACACGGCCCAAACUCCUACGGGAGGCAGCAGUGGGGAAUCUUGCACAAUGGAGGAAACUCUGAUGCAGCGAUGCCGCGUGAGUGAAGAAGGCCCUUGGGUUGUAAAGCUCUUUCGUCGGGGAAGAAAAUGACUGUACCCGAAUAAGAAGGUCCGGCUAACUUCGUGCCAGCCGCCGCGGUAAUA